CGCCUUUUCUCAAAUUCCUUCAGCUUAAAGUAUUCAAUAUGCCAAGCUGCCAUAUUUUAGGGUAGCAUGUCUUGAACCCCAUCACCACCCUAUCUAAAAU